UAGAUCUUCCAAAACAAACAAACAAGCAAAAAAGAAAAUGGAAGCAGAAGAGGACAAAGAAGAAGAAAUGUAGAGAAAGGGGGAGAAAAAGGAGAAGAAGAAGAAGGAUGAGACAUGUAUGCCUGAGUGUAUACAUGGAAUAUAAAGAGAAUACGGUAACACCAUCUAGUUGGCAGAAGACACAGGUAGGAGUUGCCCAUAUAAAAAGUCUGGCCAAUCUGUUUCCAUAUGAAAUUUAAGUCACUGAUGACUGUUAUAUUGA
rnacentral:lncRNA from 1 species